UUUGUUUGGCCCAAGUUCACUCUGCAGAGCCAAUUUCUCCCUUACUCUCCACCCCUAGCUUUUUAAAUAAGCUUUGGCUGCAUUUUUAGCUUGUCCUGUUCAAUUUAAGACAGCACAGGUUAGCCUGUCUUGUUCAGUUGGAGCCAAGAAGGCCCUGGAGCUCAGGUACCAGGAAACUAAGUGGAUCAGCAAGACUUCAAUAAUACAACCCAGUGCUCACCCAGUAGGCCUUAUUCAUCAUCCGACCUGCCUGAUUCCUGAAAGUAAUUGACGCUGGGACCCUCAGUGCAGAGUCGCAGGCGUGUAAGGAGAGGGAUGGACAGCUCCGAGGUUGGAGUUCAGCGCAGCUGUGAAAACAGGCUGUCCCCGCAGCUUCGCCCAGCUCUUUGGCACAAAGAGGCCUUCCAGCAGCUUUGAGCAAAGGAAGCGCGACUCUGAAAUGCAGAAAGCAAAGCUAAAAGCUGCUCUUGUAUGACCUCAUAGCCAACCAAGUCUUCCUUCCUUUCUUUGAAGUUGGGUGAGAUUGGAGUCAUGUGGGCUUAAGGGGGGAAAUAAAAUCUCUAAAGAAGA